rnacentral:lncRNA from 1 species
GUUGGUAAAUUUAUUAGGAUAUUUUUAUUGGUGUCAAAACGUGGGUUGGAUCCUAUGUUAGUUAAUUCGCGAAUUAUUCGCGAAUUAUUCACGAAUUUUUGAAGAAACGAAUUAAACGAUCGAAUUCGUAUUCGCGAAUUAUUCGUAUUAAACGACCGAAUAUGUGUUUAGGCAUACGGUUACAUAUGGCAUGUCGUGUUGCGCU